CAUUAAGAAGCUAAACGAAGCAUUAACCUUUUAAGUUAAAGACUGAGAGUUUAAUCUCUCCUUAAUGA
rnacentral:tRNA from 1 species